UCUUGUAGCUUAGUUGGUAAAGAAUCUGCCUGCAGUGCAGGAGACCCAGGUUCGAUCCCUGGGUCAGGAA
rnacentral:tRNA from 1 species